rnacentral:tRNA from 1 species
ACCCGGCUGGCUCAGAAGAGCGUGAGACUCUUAAUCUUGGGGUAGUGAGUUUGAGCCCCAUGUUAGGUG